UACGUAGGGGUCUAGCGUUAUCCGGAAUUACUGGGCGUAAAGGGUGCGUAGGUGGUUUCUUAAGUCAGAGGUGAAAGGCUACGGCUCAACCGUAGUAAGCCUUUGAAACUGGGAAACUUGAGUGCAGGAGAGGAGAGUGGAAAUCCUAGUGUAGCGGUGAAAUGCGUAGAUAUUAGGAGGAACACCAGUUGCGAAGGCGGCUCUCUGGACUGUAACUGACACUGAGGCACGAAAGCGUGGGGAGCAAACAGG
rnacentral:rRNA from 1 species